rnacentral:rRNA from 1 species
AUACGUAGGGGGCAAGCGUUAUCCGGAUUUACUGGGUGUAAAGGGAGCGUAGACGGAAGGCCAAGUCUGAUGUGAAAGCCCGCGGCUCAACUGCGGGACUGCAUUGGAAACUGGUCAUCUGGAGUGCAGGAGGGGUAAGCGGAAUUCCUAGUGUAGCGGUGAAAUGCGUAGAUAUAUGGAGGAACACCAGUGGCGAAGGCGACUCUCUGGUCUGUAACUGACGCUGAGGCGCGAAAGCGUGGGGAGCGAACAGGAUUAGAUACCCUGGUAGUCCACGCGGUAAACGAUGAAUGCUAGGUGUUGCGGGUAUCGACCCCUGCAGUGCCGGAGUAAACACAAUAAGUAUUCCACCUGGGGAGUACGGCCGCAAGGUUGAAACUCAAAUGAAUUGACGGGG